GUCUCCUUAGCCAAGUUGGUAAGGCAAGGGUCUGCAAAACCCUCAUCAUUGGUUCAAGUCCAAUAGGAGACU
rnacentral:tRNA from 2 species